rnacentral:rRNA from 1 species
GAUGAACGCUGGCGGCGUGCCUAAUACAUGCAAGUCGAGCGAACAGACGAGGAGCUUGCUCCUUUGACGUUAGCGGCGGACGGGUGAGUAACACGUGGGUAACCUACCUAUAAGACUGGGAUAACUUCGGGAAACCGGAGCUAAUACCGGAUAAUAUUUCGAACCGCAUGGUUCGAUAGUGAAAGAUGGCUUUGCUAUCACUUAUAGAUGGACCUGCGCCGUAUUAGCUAGAUGGUAAGGUAACGGCUUACCAAGGCAACGAUACGCAGCCGACCUGAGAGGGUGAUCGGCCACACUGGAACUGAGACACGGUCCAGACUCCUACGGGAGGCAGCAGUAGGGAAUCUUCCGCAAUGGGCGAAAGCCUGACGGAGCAACGCCGCGUGAGUGAUGAAGGUCUUCGGAUCGUAAAACUCUGUUAUUAGGGAAGAACAAACGUGUAAGUAACUGUGCACGUCUUGACGGUACCUAAUCAGAAAGCCACGGCUAACUACGUGCCAGCCGCCGCCGUAA